UCGACCACUUUGGGAAAACUUUACUUUGCCUUUUGUUUCUCACUCUUUUUGUUCUUAUCGGUACCAGACAUACACGUUUUUGAGAAACUUGGCAGAUGCAAGUUCUCAGUAUCAAUAGGUUAACACCCUUAUUGCAAACUCAGUAUCACCGAUAUAAGAAAAGCUCCACCGUCUGCCCAUUUUUUUUGUUUUCCUGUCAGGUUUCUCUGAAGAACACAACCUUUGCUAAUCAGAGGUUAUAGUGUUUGCUACUUUUAGAAGCUUAUUUCGAAUUUCCGAUUUAUUUCAAGGUAAUUAUUUUAUAGGAUUAUUUUGUUUCAUCAAUGGUAUUUUGUAUGCUAUUUUGAUUUUCCCCGCCGUUACCAAAUCGGUAAAAAGGUUUCAAUGGUUUUAUUUUGCUAAUUACAUUUGCCCUUUAGUAAGAAGAGAGUCUUCCUGAUCUUAUCUUUGUACUUUCGUGAUUUUUCCCUUUUGAUCGUUGUUGCUUGUGAGUUUUCUUCUUCUCAUCUUGUGUUCCUCUUUGAUGGCAUGCUAGGGCUUUGUUACACAGAAAGUUCAAUUAGUCUAUCGACUUUGCUCUUUAGGUGUUUGAGGCAAUUCUUGAAUGAAUUAAGCCUUUUUCUACAUUUCUACUAUUGUUUUGGUUUAAUCUUUCAACUGUGAAAUGGUUGGGAAAACAUAUGACGAAAUAUUAAACUCUGCCUUUGCUUUCAAUUAGAGAGUAUGAAUUGAACUAAACCAUCUAUUCCUUGUGUCUUUUUCUCAAAAAGAUGAGAAAUUUCAAUACUAAGUUUGCGAUAACCUCUUUAAUUGUUUGUUUUUCUCACUUGGUCUUCAUGAGCGAGACUUUGAAACUUAAAGUAACAUCUGCAUGUAGAGUUACCACCUCAUUUUCGAUGAAAUUAUGUAUAAAUAGAGCCAUUUAUUUUUCCUUCACAUUGAUAAGCUGGUGAGUGUAUAAACGUGGCCAGAUGUUCUAAAGUUCUUGCUAUUUCACUUAUGUAGAAAAGGAUGUUUAAAACGAGGAGAAGAAGAUUCUAUUUUAGCAGUAGAAGCUACUAAAUACGUAUUUGGUUCUGGUAGUAUCUUAAUUUCUUGAUAUAAGACAUAAAAAGGGAAAAACUAAUUUCUCAUGAUACAUUCUUCCUGCUUUCCUAUAGAUUACAUGCAUAUACUUAUUUUAUGUAGUGAGAUCCUUUCUUACUUUCAGUUUUCUUCACAACAUUUACGAAUAAGAAGUGCUUAGACAUAUAAACGCAAAGUCUUAAGUUGGAUUCUUUUCUGAAUUAAAGAAAAAAUUAUAGAUAUAAAAUUUGCUAGCUGGACUCAAUAUUUAAAGGGCACAACAUUAACCAUAAUUCUAUAGCUAUAGCUUCUAUUGAACGAUCUUUUUAUCACCACAGCCAAUUUCUUUCUUUUGAUAAGUAAUGUUACAGCCAUAAAUACUCGGAAAAAGUUUUAAAAAAUUAAAGCUCUAAACUUACCAAAUUAAGCUGAAAUCUAACAAACAGGUUGUAAACAAACAAAAAAAUAAAAAUAAAAUCUAACAAACAAGUUAUAAUGGUUACGUUGUUGUACUUCACUCUUUUUCACAGUACUAAGUACCAAAGAAUCUUUAAUACAUAGCUCAAGUUAUAGAAGGUCAUAUAGUUCUGAAGAGAAGUUUAGAUGAAAUAGAAAACAUCAAUCGACAAGAAUUUGAACUCAUAUUGUAACUUGUAUGUGAGCUUCUUAUAAGACCAACUGAAGGAUCAAUUAUGUAUUAUUUAAUGACACAUUUUAAUUUGCCUACCCAGCUCUGAACGAAAAAGAGCUAGCAAGAUUCCAAAAGGAUAUCCUGAUUUGAGAGCCAAAUAUUCAUUGGAAGAUCCAAUUAUUCGGAGCAGCUUGCUAUUAACAUACACAACAGGCUACGUAGCAUUGCAGGAAAUCAAUUACAAGAAGUAAAAAAGACUGCUGGAGUGGUUCAUGGUGUAUAAGGAAAUAAAUCAAUUAGCAUACAAUCGGCAAAUCUAGAAAGGUCUCGCAAAUCUGGGCGGAAUCUAAUCAACAAAUCAAUCAGCAAUAACAACGAUUAGCUGAGUUGGAAAGAAUUAAAUAAGCCUUGAGUAAAGGCACAAAUCAAGGGCAGAAUCACAGAAGAUUGAAGGAUACGAGGAAAUUUGGUACGCGACCGCAUUUGGAAGAACCAACAAUCAAGGAGCAAUCUUCAUUUGUAUCUCUGCUGAAGGAAAGCAAUUACGAGAAGCAACAACUCAUUCCUUAUUCUUGGAAAGAAUCAAUUCUUUCCAGAGAUCAAAUCUCUUGGGUUGUCAAGCCUCUACCAUCCAUCAAAGUAUUUAUACCUCGUUGUAAACCCUAGUGUUUAUACUUUGAUCAAACCAAAAUUACUCUCUUUAUUCUACUGCAAACAAGCAUUGUAGUUCACUAGGAUCUGCUGUGUAACAAGCCAGGGAAAGAAAGAGAGCAUAACACUGGUGAGACAUUGUAUCAAAAACGAGUGCUAGAGAAACCGAGUGAAAUUCACUAUAACUGUACUCGGAAGAAACUCAUUUACUAAAGAGAACUCCCUUGCAACCCAAGGGGACUGA